CCUACGGGAGGCAGCAGUAGGGAAUAUUGCUCAAUGGGGGAAACCCUGACGCAGCAACGCCGCGUGGAGGAUGAAGGUUUUAGGAUUGUAAACUCCUUUUGUGAGGGAAGAUAAUGACGGUAUCUCACGAAUAAGCACCGGCUAACUCCGUGCCAGCAGCCCCGGUAAUCCGGAGGGUGCAAGCGUUACUCGGAAUCACUGGGCGUAAAGAGUGCGCAGGCGGGCUUGUAAGUCCUAUGUGAAAUCCUGUAGCUUAACUUCAGAACUGCAUUUGAAACUAUUAGUCUAGAGUGUGGGAGAGGUAGGUGGAAUUAUUGGUGUAGGGGUAAAAUGCGUAGAUAUCAAGAGGAAUACUCAUUGCGAAGGCGACCUACUGGAACAUUACUGACGCUGAUGCACGAAAGCGUGGGGAGCAAACAGGAUUAGAUACCCCGGUAGUC
rnacentral:rRNA from 1 species